rnacentral:rRNA from 1 species
AAUCAACGCUGGCGGCGUGCCUAACACAUGCACGUCGAACGAGAAAGUGGAGCAAUCCAUGAGUAAAGUGGCGCACGGGUGAGUAACACGUGACUAACCUACCCUUGAGUGGGGGAUAACCUAGGGAAACCUGGGCUAAUACCGCAUAAUACCUACGGGUCAAAGGAGCAAUUCGCUUUAGGAGGGGGUCGCGGCAGAUUAGUUAGUUGGCGGGGUAAUGGCCCACCAAGACGAUGANCUGUAUCCGGCCUGAGAGGGCGCACGGACACACUGGAACUGAAACACGGUCCAGACUCCUACGGGAGGCAGCAGUGGGGAAUUUUGCGCAAUGGGGGAAACCCUGACGCAGCAACGCCGCGUGGAGGAUGAAGACCCUUGGGUCGUAAACUCCUUUCGAUCGGGACGAUAAUGACGGUACCGGAAGAAGAAGCCCCGGCUAACUUCGUGCCAGCAGCCGCUGUAAG